UUGAAAAUUUGCAUAAAUUUUGGACACGUUUUUGCUUAAAACAAAUUUUAAGAAAUUCGAAGAAGAAAAAAUUGGUCUACAAAAGCACCAAAGUGGUAAAAAAGUUCGCAGUAAAUUUUCGCAAAUCUUUUUUGUUAUUUGGUUCAAAAAGUGCCUACGACGGAAAGUUUCCAACUGCAGUGCAAAAGAAAAAAAAAAUUAAGCAAGCAAGCAAGCAGGCAAGCAAAUAGCAGCAACAACAAAAACGACAACAACAAUAAGAGUAAUAGCAGCAACUGCCACGCAUAGCAAAGGUAAACGCAAAGUAAAGGCAAAGGCAAAAGCAAAAGCAACUGCAACAACAAUAAGAGCAACUAGAACAACAACAACAACAACAACAGGCGGCGAAGGCAGCAAUCAACAGUAGUAGUAGCAGUAGCCAAGCAACCAAAGCCAAUGCAAAAGCAGAAAGCAUACGCAGCGUCAGCGACGUGAGAGCAAUCAAAAGCUGAAAAAUACCAGCAACAGCAGCAGUCGCGGCACGGAAACGACCGUUUUUGGCAAAUUAUUGACAUUUAACAUUGAAUUUGAACAAAACAAUUGGAUACAAAAAACUUCAAAAAACAAAAUAAUUAAAUGAAAACCAAAAACAGCAAAUUGGCAAUUCAAAACUAAACAAAAUUAUUAAACCCAUUUUUAUGAUUUGCAUUUAAAACGUUUUGCAAGCAUCUAACAAAAGUUGACUUCAGUAAAUUUUGCAUU